CCUACGGGAGGCAGCAGUGAGGAAUAUUGGUCAAUGGGCGAGAGCCUGAACCAGCGAAGCCGCGUGAAGGAUGAAGUAUCUAUGGUUUGUAAACUUCUUUUAUAUGGGAAUAAAGUUAGGAACGUGUUCCUUUUUGUAUGUACCAUAUCAAUAAGCAUCGGCUAACUACGUGCCAGCAGCCGCGGUAAUACUGCGGAUGCGAGCGUUAUCCGGAUUUAUUGGGUUUAAAGGGUGCGUAGGUGGUUAAGUAAGUCGGCGGUGAAAGUUUGUGGCUCAACCAUAAAAUUGCCGUUGAAACUGGUUGACUUGAGUAUAGGUGAGGUAAGCGGAAUGCGUGGUGUAGCGGUGAAAUGCAUAGAUAUUACGAAGAACACCGAUGGCGAAGGCAGCUUACUAAACUAUAACUGACACUGAAGCACGAAAGCGUGGGGAUCAAACAGGAUUAGAUACCCGAGUAGUC
rnacentral:rRNA from 1 species